CUCCCAGCAGACUCUACUAAUCAACUGGAGAAGAACCCUUCUCAUCCUUCCUGAUGUAGCUGUACCCUGUUUUACAGAUGAGACAGCUAGGGUUCCCAGAAGAGGAGAGACCAGUUAAGUCAGAGAGGCAGACAAUGAGUCCUCCCCAGUGUUUUAGGGACCAGCUGCUGAAGCCCCCGCUGCCCCUCCCCAUUCCCGCCAAGCUUGGGAAACACCUGCUGGGGAAAUCAAACCACAGACCCAUCUGCUCUUCGCUGCCACCACUGCCACUGGGCCCCACAGAGGCCCGGAGCUACGCCAAGCUGC
rnacentral:lncRNA from 1 species